AUUUCCAACGUCUAACACACAUCGUUUACGGCAUGGACUACGAGGGUAUCUAAUCCUCUUCGCUACCCAUGCUUUCGUUCCUCAGUGUCAGUAAUGAUCCAGAAAGCUGCCUUCGCAAUUGGUAUUCUUUCUAAUAUCUACGAAUUUCACCUCUACACUAGAAAUUCUGCUUUCCUCUAUCAUACUCUAGCUGAAAAGUUUUGAUGGCAGUUCCAGAGUUAAGCUCUGGGAUUUCACCACCAACUUUUUCAACCACCUACGAACUCUUUAAGCCCAGUAAUUCCGAACUACGCUAGGUCCCUUCGUAUUACCGCGGCUGCUGGCACGAAGUUAGCCGGACCUUCUUAUUCGGGUACAGUCAUUUUCUUCCCCGACGAAAGAGCUUUACAACCCAAGGGCCUUCUUCACUCACGCGGCAUCGCUGCAUCAGAGUUUCCUCCAUUGUGCAAGAUUCCCCACUGCUGCCUCCCGUAGGAGUUUGGGCCGUGUCUCAGUCCCAAUGUGGCUGAUCAUCCUCUCAAAUCAGCUAUUGAUCAUAGUCUUGGUAGGCCAUUACCCUACCAACAAACUAAUCAAGUGCGGGCUCAUCCAUUGGUGCAUAAAGCUUUCUCCGUAAAGACUUAUCCGGUAUUAGCACAAGUUUCCUCGUGUUAUUCCAGGCCAAAGGGUAGAUACCCACAUGUUACUCACCCGUCUGCCACUAAGUAUUGCUACUUCGUUCGACUUGCAUGUGUUAGGCGUGCCGCCAGCGUACGUUCUGAGCCAGGAUCAAACUCU
rnacentral:rRNA from 1 species